rnacentral:rRNA from 2 species
AAAUUGAAGAGUUUGAUCAUGGCUCAGAUUGAACGCUGGCGGCAGGCCUAACACAUGCAAGUCGAACGGUAACAGGAAGCAGCUUGCUGCUUUGCUGACGAGUGGCGGACGGGUGAGUAAUGUCUGGGAAACUGCCUGAUGGAGGGGGAUAACUACUGGAAACGGUGGCUAAUACCGCAUAACGUCGCAAGACCAAAGAGGGGGACCUUCGGGCCUCUUGCCAUCAGAUGUGCCCAGAUGGGAUUAGCUAGUUGGUGAGGUAACGGCUCACCAAGGCGACGAUCCCUAGCUGGUCUGAGAGGAUGACCAGCCACACUGGAACUGAGACACGGUCCAGACUCCUACGGGAGGCAGCAGUGGGGAAUAUUGCACAAUGGGCGCAAGCCUGAUGCAGCCAUGCCGCGUGUAUGAAGAAGGCCUUAGGGUUGUAAAGUACUUUCAGCGGGGAGGAAGGUGUUGCGGUUAAUAACCGCAGCAAUUGACGUUACCCGCAGAAGAAGCACCGGCUAACUCCGUGCCAGCAGCCGCGGUAAUACGGAGGGUGCAAGCGUUAAUCGGAAUUACUGGGCGUAAAGCGCACGCAGGCGGUCUGUCAAGUCGGAUGUGAAAUCCCCGGGCUCAACCUGGGAACUGCAUUCGAAACUGGCAGGCUUGAGUCUUGUAGAGGGGGGUAGAAUUCCAGGUGUAGCGGUGAAAUGCGUAGAGAUCUGGAGGAAUACCGGUGGCGAAGGCGGCCCCCUGGACAAAGACUGACGCUCAGGUGCGAAAGCGUGGGGAGCAAACAGGAUUAGAUACCCUGGUAGUCCACGCCGUAAACGAUGUCUACUUGGAGGUUGUGCCCUUGAGGCGUGGCUUCCGGAGCUAACGCGUUAAGUAGACCGCCUGGGGAGUACGGCCGCAAGGUUAAAACUCAAAUGAAUUGACGGGGGCCCGCACAAGCGGUGGAGCAUGUGGUUUAAUUCGAUGCAACGCGAAGAACCUUAC